rnacentral:rRNA from 1 species
UACGGAGGGGGCUAGCGUUGUUCGGAAUUACUGGGCGUAAAGCGCGCGUAGGCGGACCUGCAAGUCGGGGGUGAAAGCCCGAGGCUCAACCUCGGAACUGCCUUCGAUACUGCGGGUCUCGAGUCCGGGAGAGGUGAGUGGAAUUCCUAGUGUAGAGGUGAAAUUCGUAGAUAUUAGGAAGAACACCAGUGGCGAAGGCGGCUCAGCUGGCCCGGUACUGACGCGUGAGGCGACGAAGCGUGGGGAGCAAACAGG